rnacentral:misc_RNA from 1 species
GAUGAAGAAUGCAGCGAAAUGCGAUAAGUAGUGUGAAUUGCAGAAUUCAGUGAAUCAUCGAAUCUUUGAACGCACAUUGCGCCCCUUGGUAUCCCGAGGGGCAUGCCUGUUCGAGCGUCAUUUCACCACUCAAGCCUGGCUUGGUGUUGGGCGACGUCCCCUUUGGGGACGCGCCUCGAAACGCUCGGCGGCGUGGCACCGGCUUUAAGCGUAGCAGAAUCUUUCGCUUUGGAAGUCGGGGCCCCGUCUGCCGGAAGACCUACUCGCAAGGUUGACCUCGGAUCAGGCAGGGAUACCCGCUGAACUUAAGCAUAUCAAUAAGCGGAGGA